rnacentral:rRNA from 1 species
GACGAACGCUGGCGGCGUGCUUAACACAUGCAAGUCGAACGAAGUGGCGAACGGGUGAGUAACGCGUAAUCAACCUGCUCUUCAGAGGGGGAAAACACUUGGAAACGACUGCUAAUACCCCAUACUGAAGGAGUGGAUUGUGUCUGAUUAGCUAGUUGAGGGGGUAACGGUCCACCAAGGCGAUGAUCAGUAGGCGGUCUGGGGGGGUGAACGGCCAAAUUGGGACUGAGGAACGGCCCAAACUCCUACGGGAGGCAGCAGUGGGGAAUCUUCCGAAAUGGGCGGAAGUCUGGCGGAGGCACGCCGCGGGAGUGGUGGCGGCCUUCGGGGUGUAAAGGUAUGUUAAUCGGGACGCGGUACCGGAAUAGAAAGCCACGGCUAACUACGUGCCAGCAGCCGCGGUAAUAC